rnacentral:hammerhead_ribozyme from 1 species
AUCCAGUUGACGAGUCCUGAAUUGAACGAAACGCAUGUCUAACUGGAU